rnacentral:rRNA from 1 species
UUGAAAGUUGGGGUUAGUAGGUUGGACGUGCCACUGGUAUGUACUGGCUCUACUGAUCCCUCCUUCUUGUAGAACCGUAAUGCCAUUAACUUGGUGUUGCGGGGUAACAGGACUGUUACUUUGAAAAAAUUAGAGUGUUUAAAGCAGGCUAACGCUUGAAUACAUUAGCAUGGAAUAUGAAAUAGGACGCUCGAUCCUAUUUUGUUGGUUUCUAGGAUUGACGUAAUGAUUAAUAGGGAUAGUUGGGGGCAUUAGUAUUCAAUUGUCAGAGGUGAAAUUCUUGGAUUUAUUGAAGACUAACUACUGCGAAAGCAUUUGCCAAGGAUGUUUUCAUUAAUCAAGAACGAAAGUUAGGGGAUCGAAGACGAUCAGAUACCGUCGUAGUCUUAACCAUAAACUAUGCCGACUAGGGAUCGGAUGAUGUUAAUUUUUUAAUGACUC